UAAGUAUCAGGGAUCAGAGGGAGGGAACAAGCCUCCCAGAC
rnacentral:ncRNA from 1 species